CUCUGGCAAGUGGCCAGGGGAAGAGAGCUCCAGCAUGGCAGAACUACCCAAGAAAGCUGUGGCUAAUGAGGCUUUAGGAGUCUAUAAGACUGGGGAGAAAUAUUCUUCUGCAGAGAAAACAAGUGCUAGACUAACCAUUUGAAGUGUGGUUGCAUUAGCUCCCCAUGUCGUUCCAGCCAGUUUAUUCACAAGUGGGACCCUGAGAAGGAGCAGAGCAGAAGGUAUCUGAAGAAUAAUUUCAGGAAAAAAAUACCUCAGCAGAGGAGUAAAAACAUGAUGUCCACGUCAUCUCCUAACCAUUGUCAGAGUGCAUGACUCCCUACCACCUGUGUCUCCGUUAGAUCUGAGCUUGGCUGUGGACCACAAACUAUUGCUCAAUAGGUGUUAAUGAAUGUAAUUAUAUCACAAAUAACCAAUUAAAGUAUAAUGAAACAUGGCUCAGUCAGUCAAUCCUGUGUUAACAAUGCAAUAUGCACAAGGAUUAACUUAGCCCUUAUAACUAAAAUAAAAAGAGGACAAGCCCAAUGCCAUUUUCGAGUCACAAAAUCUAAACUGCAUUGUGCUAUAUGCCCAAACUUGUGUUAAUGCAGCUAUGAAACUGCUAUUCUGUCUCUAUUACAUUGGUGCCUAGAAAACACAACUCCAAUAGGUAGGGUGACCAUACAUCCUUGUUUGGUCUGGACCCUCCCAGAUUCUGCAUGCUGGAGUCUGGUAGAGAGGCUGCUGGGCAGGCACCAUUGAUGUGUGGAAGCAACAUGUGGUGUAGUACAUGUGCAGGGUGGCCAUGGCCCUGUCCAUGGUGAGCAAGUGGGACAGCUCUUCUUAGAAGGGCACAGCGUGCCUCCUACUCCUGGAUUGUUUAUUGGCAUCAGGCAUACACUUGUACUGGAUCUUCAUUCAUUGCAUCUUGGACCAGCACUACACUCAGUCCCUGUCAUGGACUUGCACUUGCAUAUGUUAGGCAAUGCACUUGACCAUAUUCCUGUUGCAGUGCUCUUUGCAGAGCUGGUCUUGGGCCUCCCGCUCACCCCAGAUGGUGACUAGUUCUUUCAUCUCCCUGUGGCUCCAGUUGUGUGACCAGGGUUGGGUACUGGAGGAGCACAGGACAGGUUCUUCCAUGGUCCACAAAAGUGACUGUUGGGUCCCGGUGUCUGCAGUGGGUGAGGGUCUGGCUGCAGGAGGGAGGAAGGAUGGAAGUAGCGGUAGAUGCACACAGGUGUGGGACCUGGCCCAUGACUAACCCUAUCCCUCCAGCUGGUGUGGGCCAUGCUCAAGAGUAACUGGGGCUCCACUAGCCAGGCCACCACAUAACCUCAAGCUUUCCAGGGGCUUUCAGCAAACACCCCCAUGAUGCUGGCAAUGCCCCAUUCCCCAGUGUAGAAAUUUCCAAUGUCCUCUACCUGCAACGCUUAAGAGAGCUUGUUAUGCCUUACCUGCUCCUUAAGUUUCUAAGGGCAUCUGUCUGCUUGGUGCUCACUGCUCCACACACUGUCCCCAUCCCUAUUACUCCAGGACCAUGUAGUUGUGGGCCAAAAAAUCCUUCAAGCAUGUCAAGUGCACAUGCCUGGGUACCUGUUAACAAUGGCCAAGACUUGGACAUCACAAGGUCUUGUCCAUGCAGGCUUAAUGCUGAUGUUUUGCCUCUUGCCAACCUGACCAACAAGAGGUAAGCCACCUGCACUGGCUCCUGCCAAUGGGGAGGUGUUUAUGUUGGGGUCCAGGUGGCAGUGUGCCUGUCUAUGGUCUCUGAGAUGUGGUGUGAACAUACCAGAGUUAGGGUCUGUGGAUCUGGGGCUUAACACAGGGGUUAUCUUGGACUGUGCUGGGGUCUGCAUGUAUGUUGUAGGGUGCUUCAUGAUGGGGUGUUGAGGCUGCUAGCUCAUGGCCCAGGGACUCAAGUGCCCAGGUCCUGGGGCUCAUGCAAGGGACACCUGCUGCCUGCCUGUGGCUGGCUGGUGGCUGGAGGUGAGAAUGGGGAAAGGGGCUUUGCUUGCUCAGUGUUGAGAGCCUGGAUUUAGGACCUGCUUGGUGUUUUUGUGUAGCAGCUAAGUGCAGGCCAAGUGCUAGUGUAUCUCCUUUCAAGAGAUGGGUAGGAGGGCCAAAAAGCAGUUUGGGAUGCCAGAGGUUGGUAAUCUAACUCAAAUCAUUAGGUCAGCAAUGGAACAGAUCAAAGCUGCCUCCCUAAUACUUAAAAUGUUUCAUUUAUUCCCAAUGAUUCUUAGGUCAUUCCUUUCAAUAUAAUUGUAAAUAAUUUUAAAGGACCAUGUUACCAAUUUAACUGACUUUUGAAGAAUAAGGGCUCAAUAUGAAAUACUCCUGUUCACUGUGAUUUUUGUAGUUUUGAUGCAUUAUGCAGCAUAAAAGUGGAGCUGUUUGAUUGAUAUCUGUGUUAUUCAAUAUGCAUAUUUAUAUGCUAGACUGGCUCUAAGAGGAAUAAAGUUUCUGUUGUUUUAACUGAAUAACUGCUGUUCAAUACAUGUCAUUUUUUUC